rnacentral:rRNA from 1 species
CAGAACGAACGCUGGCGGCAGGCCUAACACAUGCAAGUCGAACGCUCCGCAAGGGAGUGGCAGACGGGUGAGUAACACGUGGGAAUCUUCCUAUUGGUAUGGAAUAGCUCAGGGAAACUUGGGUAAUACCGUAUAAGCCCGAGAGGGGAAAGAUUUAUCGCCAAUAGAUGAGCCCGCGUCUGAUUAGCUAGUUGGUGAGGUAAUGGCUCACCAAGGCGACGAUCAGUAGCUGGUCUGAGAGGAUGAUCAGCCACACUGGGACUGAGACACGGCCCAGACUCCUACGGGAGGCAGCAGUGGGGAAUAUUGGACAAUGGGCGCAAGCCUGAUCCAGCCAUGCCGCGUGAGUGACGAAGGUCUUCGGAUUGUAAAGCUCUUUUGGCGGGGACGAUAAUGACGGUACCCGCAGAAUAAGCCCCGGCUAACUUCGUG